rnacentral:rRNA from 1 species
GACGAACGCUGGCGGCGUGCUUAACACAUGCAAGUCGAGCGGAAAGGCCCUUUCGGGGGUACUCGAGCGGCGAACGGGUGAGUAACACGUGAGUAAUCUGCCCUUGGCUUUGGGAUAACCACCGGAAACGGUGGCUAAUACCGGAUAUGACGGGCUCCGGCAUCGGGGUUCGUGGAAAGUUUUUUCGGCCAGGGAUGUGCUCGCGGCCUAUCAGCUUGUUGGUGGGGUAAUGGCCUACCAAGGCUUCGACGGGUAGCCGGCCUGAGAGGGUGACCGGCCACACUGGGACUGAGACACGGCCCAGACUCCUACGGGAGGCAGCAGUGGGGAAUAUUGGACAAUGGGCGGAAGCCUGAUCCAGCAACGCCGCGUUGAGGGAUGACGGCCUUCGGGUUGUAAACC